GACGAACGCUGGCGGCGUGCUUAACACAUGCAAGUCGAACGGAAAGGCCCCUUUGGGGGUACUCGAGUGGCGAACGGGGGAGUAACACGUGAGUAACCUGCCCUUGACUUCGGGAUAACUUCAGGAAACUGGGGCUAAUACCGGAUAGGAAUCCUUGCUGCAUGGUGGGGGUUGGAAAGCUUCGGCGGUUUUGGCUGGACUCGCGGCUUAUCAGCUUGUUGGUGGGGUAGUGGCUUACCAAGGCUUUGACGGGUAGCCGGCCUGAGAGGGCGACCGGCCACCUUGGGCCUGAGAUACGGCCCUGUCUCCUACGGGGGGCAGUAGUGGUGACUAUUGCACAAUGGGCGGAAGCCUGAUGCAGCAACGCCGCGUGCGGGAUGACGGCCGUCGGGUUGGAAGCCGCUUUCAGCAGGGGCGAAGCUUGUGGUGACGGUACCUGCAGAAGAAGCACCGGCUAACUACGUG
rnacentral:rRNA from 1 species